rnacentral:rRNA from 2 species
GCUGGCGGCAGGCUUAACACAUGCAAGUCGAACGCACCUUCGGGUGAGUGGCAGACGGGUGAGUAACGCGUGGGAACCUUCCCUGUGGUACGGAACAGCUCCGGGAAACUGGAAUUAAUACCGUAUACGCCCUUCGGGGGAAAGAUUUAUCGCCAUAGGAUGGGCCCGCGUCGGAUUAGCUUGUUGGUAGGGUAAUGGCCUACCAAGGCAACGAUCCGUAGCUGGUCUUAGAGGAUGAUCAGCCACACUGGGACUGAGACACGGCCCAGACUCCUACGGGAGGCAGCAGUGGGGAAUAUUGGACAAUGGGCGAAAGCCUGAUCCAGCCAUGCCGCGUGAGUGACGAAGGCCUUAGGGUUGUAAAACUCUUUUGGCGGGGACGAUAAUGACGGUACCCGCAGAAUAAGCCCCGGCUAACUUCGUGCCAGCAGCCGCGGUAAUACGAAGGGGGCUAGCGUUGUUCGGAAUCACUGGGCGUAAAGCGCACGUAGGCGGACUGGUCAGUUGGGGGUGAAAUCCCAGGGCUCAACCCUGGAACUGCCUCCAAUACUGCCAGUCUUGAGUCCGAGAGAGGUGAGUGGAAUUCCUA